rnacentral:rRNA from 1 species
GAAUUCACUAGUGAUUCAGGCCUAACACAUGCAAGUCGAGCGAUUCUCUUCGGAGAAGAGCGGCGGACGGGUGAGUAACGCGUGGGUAACCUGCCCUGUACACACGGAUAACAUACCGAAAGGUAUGCUAAUACGAGAUAAUAUACUUUUAUCGCAUGGUAGAAGUAUCAAAGCUCCGGCGGUACAGGAUGGACCCGCGUCUGAUUAGCUAGUUGGUAAGGUAACGGCUUACCAAGGCGACGAUCAGUAGCCGACCUGAGAGGGUGAUCGGCCACAUUGGAACUGAGACACGGUCCAAACUCCUACGGGAGGCAGCAGUGGGGAAUAUUGAACGAUGGGCGAAAGCCUGAUGCAGCAACGCCGCGUGAGCAAUGGGGGCCUUCGGGUCGUAAAGCUCUGUCCUCAAGGAAGAUAAUGACGGUACUGAGAGAAGCC